AGUAGGUUCUUGGCCGUCAUCGUCACACAACAAAACCUUGUUUGCUGUAAAUGAUGCUCAUCUGUUUCCAAGCCGGAGGAUACACAGAUGCAUCAUAGGCAGGUAAUAAAUCUAAUUUGUAGAUCUAUUAAUUUAUACUUCUUACUAAAGCUGGCUAGGUUUUGACUACAGUAAAAAUGCUGACACUGAUACAUACAGUGACCACUGUAUAUUUACACUGUUGUGAAUGGAGCCACAAAAAUUAUCUCUAAAGGGUUUUGGGCACACUUUUGUUGUUAAUCUGGCUCAGUUUUUUUUUUGUCUAAAUCAUUUCCCUUUAAAAAAAAA